AGAGUUUGAUCCUGGCUCAGGACGAACGCUGGCGGCGUGCUUAACACAUGCAAGUCGAACGAUGAAGCCGGAGCUUGCUCUGGUGGAUUAGUGGCGAACGGGUGAGUAACACGUGAGUAACCUGCCCUUGACUCUGGGAUAAGCGUUGGAAACGACGUCUAAUACCGGAUACGAGCUAGGACCGCAUGGUCACUAGCUGGAAAGAAUUUCGGUCAAGGAUGGACUCGCGGCCUAUCAGUUAGUUGGUGAGGUAACGGCUCACCAAGACGACGACGGGUAGCCGGCCUGAGAGGGUGACCGGCCACACUGGGACUGAGACACGGCCCAGACUCCUACGGGAGGCAGCAGUGGGGAAUAUUGCACAAUGGGCGCAAGCUUGAUGCAGCAACGCCGCGUGAGGGACGACGGCCUUCGGGUUGUAAACCUCUUUUAGCAGGGAAGAAGCGAAAGUGACGGUACCUGCAGAACAAGCACCGGCUAACUACGUGCCAGCAGCCGCGGUAAUACGUAGGGUGCAAGCGUUGUCCGGAAUUAUUGAGCGUAAAGAGCUCGUAGGCGGUUUGUCGCGUCUGCUGUGAAA
rnacentral:rRNA from 1 species